rnacentral:misc_RNA from 1 species
AAGGAUCAUUAACAAAUCUAACAACAACACUUGGUGCGGGUGGCCCGAGGGCAAAUAGACUGUGGGUGGGCGAGGGCAUCAGGAGACGGGCAUGCAGUCUUUUGGGCGACGCAUUGGGAGACGCGCCUAGGCAGAGGGAGAGACUGGUUUGUAAUUCUGACACAUUAUCGGGUCAGUCAGCCAGCACACGUUGAUACUUAGUGGUAUCGACAAUCACAAUGCAGAUGGCAUUCAAAAAACAUGUACAACUUUUAACUAUGGAUCUCUAGGCUCUU